rnacentral:ncRNA from 2 species
AGGCAAGUAAUACUCCGAAGCCCGUUUCGUCCUGAACAGACUCAGGGGAUGACCGGGCCGCUGACGGGUCGCAAGGCUCCUCAGCCGGGUCGAGAUGGAAACAUCCCGAUCUCCCACUCUUGGAAAGGAGCCUUGUGUCUGAAAU